GACGAACGCUGGCGGUGUGCUUAACACAUGCAAGUCGAACGGUAAGGCCCUUUCGGGGGUACACGAGUGGCGAACGGGUGAGUAACACGUGAGUAACCUGCCCUCAUCUCUGGGAUAACAGUCGGAAACGGUUGCUAAUACUGGAUACGAGCUUGCAAGGCAUCUUGUGGGUUGGAAAGAUUUUUUUUGGUUGGGGAUGGACUCGCGGCCUAUCAGCUUGUUGGUGAGGUAGUGGCUCACCAAGGCUUCGACGGGUAGCCGGCCUGAGAGGGCGACCGGCCACAUUGGGACUGAGAUACGGCCCAAACUCCUACGGGAGGCAGCAGUGGGGAAUAUUGCACAAUGGACGGAAGUCUGAUGCAGCAACGCCGCGUGCGGGAUGACGGCCUUCGGGUUGUAAACCGCUUUCAAUUGUGACGAAGCUUUUUUGUGACGGUAGCAGUAGAAGAAGCACCGGCUAACUACGUG
rnacentral:rRNA from 1 species